rnacentral:rRNA from 1 species
AGCAGCCGCGGUAAUUCCAGCUCCAAUAGCGUAUAUUAAAGUUGUUGCAGUUAAAAAGCUCGUAGUUGAAUUUCGGGAUUGACACAUCGGUCGUGCCUUAAGGGGUAUGAACUGGUGUAGUCAAUUUCUCACCUUCUGGAGAACCGCGAUGCCCUUAAUUGGGUGUCGCGGGGAACCAGGACCUUUACUUUGAAAAAUUAGAGUGUUUAAAGCAGGCAUUUUGCUUGAAUACAUUAGCAUGGAAUAAUAAAAUAGGACGGCAUGAUUCUAUUUUGUUGGUUUCUAGGAUCACCGUAAUGAUUAAUAGGGAUAGUUGGGGGCAUUAGUAUUCAAUUGUCAGAGGUGAAAUUCUUGGAUUUAUUGAAGACUAACUACUGCGAAAGCAUUUGCCAAGGAUGUUUUCAUUAAUCAAGAACGAAAGUUAGGGGAUCGAAGACGAUCAGAUACCGUCGUAGUCUUAAUCAUAAACUAUGCCGACUAGGAAUCAGACAAUGUUAAUUUUUAAUGACUCGUUUGGCAC